rnacentral:lncRNA from 10 species
GGUCCAAGUAGGCUAAAUCCAGUCCAGAGUUUGUGGACGUUCUUAGGGAAUAUAAAGCUAAGGGGCAGCAAAAUUAGUAGCACCAAAUCUGUGGAGCCAGAAGAUGUGGAUUCAAACUCCUGCUGCACAUCUUGUAUGCUUUUUGAUUUUGAAAGAGUUUUUUUUUUCCUUUUUGAGCCUUGGCUUCCAUAUAUACAAAAUGAAGUUACUAAUAAUAUCAACCUUAUAGGAGAUGGCCUGGAUUCUGCCAUGUAAAUCAAAGAAGAGAGGGCCUAACUCAGCUGCCUAGCCUGGAUCACCUGGAACCCAUUAGGAUACAGGAUCAUAAACACCUCUAUUUUCCCUUCAGAGAGAGACCAGAACCACUGGAGUUAAGCUACCUGCAUAAGAGUUGAGUGCGAUCAGCUGUACUUAAUCUUUAAAUGUCCAACCCACUGAUAACCUUUGGUUUGCUUUGAUAACUAUGAAAUAAAUUCU